AGAGUUUGAUUAUGGCUCAGGAUGAACGCUAGCUACAGGCUUAACACAUGCAAGUCGAGGGGCAGCAUGAAACUUAGCUUGCUAAGUUUGAUGGCGACCGGCGCACGGGUGAGUAACACGUAUCCAACCUACCGUUUACUACGGGAUAGCCUUCUGAAAAGGAGAUUAAUACCGUAUGGUAUUCUAAAGUUUCAUGACAUUAGAAUUAAAGGUUUACCGGUAAUCGAUGGGGAUGCGUUCCAUUAGAUAGUAGGCGGGGUAACGGCCCACCUAGUCAGCGAUGGAUAGGGGUUCUGAGAGGAGGGUCCCCCACAUUGGAACUGAGACACGGUCCAAACUCCUACGGGAGGCAGCAGUGAGGAAUAUUGGUCAAUGGGCGAGAGCCUGAACCAGCCAAGUAGCGUGAAAAGGAUGACUGCCCUAUGGGUUGUAAACUUCUUUUAUAAAGGAAUAAAGUGGUCCACGUGUGGAUUUUUGUAUGUACUUUAUGAAUAAGGAUCGGCUAACUCCGUGCCAGCAGCUGC
rnacentral:rRNA from 1 species